GCAAUAUACACAAACUUGUAAGAUUCCAUUGCCUAUGGUGAGACAGACAAGGUGCCAAGUAGCCCUCCACGUAUAACAGACUUGUGUUCUUGAUAUAUGAUUAUGAUCUUUCCAAUUAAACAAGAUUUGAUGAGUCUCCCCCUGGAAAGGCAGCAGCAAACACACACAUCUGAGACUGUUCCAUUGGAAAUUUGCAGUAUGCCCUCUCGUCAAUAUUUUCUGCCCUGUUGUUGGAGAUUUGCGCGUGCAGAAUACUCUGCCCUUUUGACUUCAGAUAUUUUCUCUUAUGCUACAAGCCUGAGAACAAAGAAGUGAAGAGGUGUGGAGGAAGACUGACAAUAGGCAAACAUGGAGGAAUUUCUGGUAGUUUAUGAUGCUAUGAGGCCGGUGUAUUUUUCGCUUAAAAGACCAAUUUUGUGAGGAC